rnacentral:rRNA from 1 species
UACGAAGGGAGCUAGCGUUGUUCGGAAUCACUGGGCGUAAAGCGCACGUAGGCGGAUGUGUCAGUCAGGGGUGAAAUCCUGGAGCUCAACUCCAGAACUGCCUUUGAUACUGGAGAGCUUGAGUCCGGAAGAGGUGAGUGGAACUCCGAGUGUAGAGGUGAAAUUCGUAGAUAUUCGGAAGAACACCAGUGGCGAAGGCGGCUCACUGGUCCGGUACUGACGCUGAGGUGCGAAAGCGUGGGGAGCAAACAGG